rnacentral:rRNA from 1 species
UAAUACGUAGGGUGCGAGCGUUAAUCGGAAUUACUGGGCGUAAAGCGUGCGCAGGCGGUUUUUUAAGACAGGCGUGAAAUCCCCGGGCUUAACCUGGGAACUGCGCUUGUGACUGGAAGACUAGAGUAUGGCAGAGGGGGGUGGAAUUCCACGUGUAGCAGUGAAAUGCGUAGAGAUGUGGAGGAACACCGAUGGCGAAGGCAGCCCCCUGGGCCAAUACUGACGCUCAUGCACGAAAGCGUGGGGAGCAAACAGGA